rnacentral:rRNA from 1 species
CCUACGGGUGGCAGCAGUCGAGAAUUUUUCUCAAUGGGCGCAAGCCUGAAGGAGCGACGCCGCGUGGGGGAUGAAGGGUUUCGAUCCGUAAACCCCUGUCAUUUGUGAACUAGUAAUGAAAGAGGAAGGGACGGCUAACUCUGUGCCAGCAGCCGCGGUAAUACAGAGGUCCCGAGCGUUGUUCGGAUUCACUGGGCGUAAAGGGUGCGUAGGUGGCUUGAAAAGUUUGAUGUGAAAGCUCAGGGCUUAACCCUGAAAUGGCAUUGAAUACUGUCGAGCUGGAGGUUUGGAGGGGGGACUGGAAUUCUUGGUGUAGCAGUGAAAUGCGUAGAUAUCAAGAGGAACACCAGUGGCGAAGGCGAGUCCCUGGACACCCUGACACUGAGGCACGAAAGCUAGGGGAGCAAACAGGAUUAGAUACCCUUGUAGUC